AGUGAACGCUGGCGGCAGGCCUAACACAUGCAAGUCGAACGGCAGCACAGUAAGAGCUUGCUCUUACGGGUGGCGAGUGGCGGACGGGUGAGGAAUACAUCGGAAUCUACUUUUUCGUGGGGGAUAACGUAGGGAAACUUACGCUAAUACCGCAUAUGACCUACGGGUGAAAGCAGGGGAUCUUCGGACCUUGCGCGAUUGAAUGAGCCGAUGUCGGAUUAGCUAGUUGGCGGGGUAAAGGCCCACCAAGGCGACGAUCCGUAGCUGGUCUGAGAGGAUGAUCAGCCACACUGGAACUGAGACACGGUCCAGACUCCUACGGGAGGCAGCAGUGGGGAAUAUUGGACAAUGGGCGCAAGCCUGAUCCAGCCAUACCGCGUGGGUGAAGAAGGCCUUCGGGUUGUAAAGCCCUUUUGUUGGGAAAGAAAAGCAGCAGGAUAAUACCCGGCUGUUCUGACGGUACCCAAAGAAUAAGCACCGGCUAACUUCGUG
rnacentral:rRNA from 1 species